GGGGCUGUGGCUCAGAGGUAGAGUGCUUGCCUACCAUGCGUGAGGCACUGGGUUCGAUCCCCAGCACCA
rnacentral:tRNA from 1 species